AUUAGUUAACUCUUUUUGCUAAAUCGUGCAAAUUAUUUAUAAAUCAAGAGAACAAUUUUGUAAAUUGUGCCCACGAUUUAUCAAUUUUAGGGAACGAUUUAGCAAAUCGAGGGAACGAAAUAGUAAAUCAUGCAUACGUGUCAUGUGCGGGGCUCCCUAGAAAUGACCUGGUAUUUGAGAUACUUAAUAGUUCAUGGUCAUUUCCCCUAUUUAGAUUAUCUUUGCUGUCAUUAACACUCACUUAAAUAUAAUCUUUAGCAUAUGAAUUUCCACUUUUCAUACUGUACAUUUUUAUAUAGUUUAUUUAGAAAAAAUGGAAUCAAUAGAUAGAAUAGAAUUUAUCCAUUAUUCAUUUAUCUACAGAAGCAGUGUCAAGAUUAAAAGAACACAAGAAAGAUGACUUCCGGAAUUUAUCGGUUAUUGCGCAUAACAACAAUUAUCUGCUUAUCGGUAUCGGCCAAAUGUUUAUACCAUGCAUCUUUUUUAUUUAUUUAGAUUUUUUUGCUCAGAUUGAAAAUGUCAGAACAGCAGCAUGCCUUGGUUGUGCCAAGGUUGUGCCAGAGGAAGAGCAUUACAGAACUACAGAGAGUUCAGGGCAGGACUGAAUCCUUUUGAUAUUUGUGGGUGCCUUCAUAUACAGUGCUCUACCCCAUUAGAUAACACUCCAGCAACUUAUACUGACACAUCUGUGGAGUUUGAACGCAUUGCCAUAAUCUGACGAUACCAUCAAGAAGCAUAGCCUUCUAAUUGCGUUAUUGGCCGAGAUAAAACUGAAAAGCCAUGGUUGAGUAAAAGGGUGAUAUCGUAACGGCUCAUGCCAGAAAACGAGGAGUAGCGUUAGCUAGAGUUCUGACAAUAUAUGUACAUGAUGACAUUUUGUACAUAAUGCCUAUACACAUGCUUAAUAUGUACAUGUAAAUGUUUCUCUACCUUAGAACUGCUUUCAUAAUCUGACACAGCUGCAAUGAUUUGUGUGGUAACACAAAAAAACCUUACUGUCUGUCUGUGAAACAGGGACACUAAUGUGUGCAUUUUCUUCACUUUAAUCUGGUGUGAAAGCUGCGGUGUGACUGUGUGAGUUCACGUAAGGGAACACAAAUGCCUCAACCUUUGUAUUAAUUCUUUCUUAUUAUCCUCAUGCCAGUGCUAGGAGUAUUACAUCAUCAUGUUUGUUGUUACCUGGUGUGGCUGGUGAGUUUAUUUAUUUGUAUUUUUUUGUCAUGAGAGCUUUAGUUUAGUUCAGUCUUUGGUAGUUCAUCUCUUAUUUCAUAAGCUUUGCAGGUGUCACCCAAGGGGAUUUUAAUUGUAUAAUCUUGUAAUAUAAGUGGACACAAAUGAAAACCAGAUGCAGAAUGUGUAGUACUUGUCAAUGUUACUAUGCCGCAAUACUUAUUAACAUGAGAUUGCUGUUGCACUAUGUAGUGAGUAGAGGCAAUACAGCUUUAGUUUAAGACUGCCUCCCUGUGGUGACUUGCCCAGUUAACUUAAGCACCAGAUCUUCAAACACUAUGAUUUCACUCAGAACCAGGGCUGUCAGGGGGUCGAAGGAGUCCAACUAAGCUCCUUAUAUUUUGAGAUAUUUAGCAUUACAUCACUUGCUCACCAAAGGAUAUUCUGCAGGGAAUGGGUGCCGUCAGAAUGAGAGUCUUAACAGCUGAUAAAAACAUCACGAUAACCCAUAAGUAAUCCACAUGACUCCAGUCAAUAAUCCAUCCUGUAAAGUAACAUCUUGUAAAGCAAAAAGAUGAGUGUUUGAAAGAAAAAAAUCAAUCUUUUAAGGCAUUUUAACUUUAAACUGUUGCUUUUUGCCAAAAUACAUCCAUAAUAAUGCUUCAUCCAGUUCACUGCAUAGGAUCCAUUGGUGAGCAAGUGAUGUAAUUUCUCCAGAUUUCUCUUUUAAACCCUAAAUGUACUUCUAGAUCACAAUGAGGAGGAUCUUACUGGAACAUUGUGCUACAAAAAAGCAAUGAUUAUUUGAAUUUAGACAUCUUUUUAGCUUUACCCAAGUGACUUAUUUUUCAUUAGUGAAAGGCUGUAGCAAUACUCAAAGAUUAAUCCUGCGAUUCAUUUUGCAGCAUAUCCUGUGAUGUUACAUCUUCAGUAACAGCAGUUUAAGCAAUUUCUUUACUCGCCUAUGAGCGCAUUUUGUCGCAACUGCUUUUACACUACUCAUAAUCUUGUGAAAUCCUUGUGGGAUGUGUUUCCUGUCACAUUCACACACCUCUGCUGCUGUUUUACACCUCUGCUCAUGAGCGGCAAGUGUAAUCGCUUUCUUAUUAUGUCACAUAAUAGCGUUCUUUAUACUAAGAUGUGCUAACCCUUGUGAAAAUGUGCACUUGUAGUGUACUUCAGAUCUUUUGGGUAUAUUUAAAAAAAACUGUACUUGCAGAUAAUAUUAAUAAAUUAAAAGGCCACUUAACUUAAUACACUUAAGUACACUUUGUAGCACUUUCCAAUUAAAACUACAUUUUAAAUCAUUAUGUUAAUAAUAUUUUGUCUUGUUUUUGAAGACACUCUUACUUUGAUGUGUUUAUUAACAUACUAAAGUGCAUGUAAAGUACUUGGUUAAUAUAUUUUAAAAGCACUAAACUGCAACUUCAUCAUUACACAUGUAUAAUUACAAAAUUAUUUAAAUAUGUGACAUAAAAUUUUCAAUAGAAAUGAUAUUAUUUUUAUUUUAAAUAAUUAAUAUAAAUCCAUGUAAUACAAUGAUGUACUUAAGUCCUACUUAAGUGGGUCAGAUAAAUAACUCUAAAAUUCAGCUAAUUGCAUUUAAUGUUAAUUUAAACCGUAAUAAUGUUUCAUUUAAAUAACAUGCGUGUCUGAAAACAUUACAUUCAGUUCACACUUAAGUAUAUUAAGUACUCUUUUUAAAAGUAUGCUAAAGUGUACUUCUUUUUCACAAGGUAAAAUCUAAUUUUAUUGGUCACUUUUACUGAAUUUUAUCGUAGACUGCAAUUCAGAGCUGUACCAGCGUUACUCAAUAUAUGGUCUGCAAUCUUUCAGACUGACCAUCUGACUAUCUAAUGAUUACUGUGAUUAGAUUACAUAAACGCAGUAAUGGUCAUGGGUAAUGAUUAUGGGAAGUGCAAAAUGGGUCUUGUGGAUUUUGUGCAUUGUCCUGAUCUGCCGGUGAGCUAAAGUCCAAUAAGUCAAUUUCUGUGCCAAAGACUCAAUAAUACAAAAAAAUUAAAUAAGAAAUAAGAUAUGUGUAUACACAUAGAUGUUCUGAACUUGCACCCAAUUGUUGAAAAUGUAUUAUGAUUGCAUUAAUAUUUAUAUUACAGCUUAAAAAUGUGUGUAACCUUCCACUGCAAAUUCUGAUAUUGUCCAAAAAUGAUAACAUUGAAAAGGGAGUAAUUGUGUCCAAUUGUGCAAUACAAUGCUUUCUGUACUGUAUGUGUGCUGUGCAUUUCUAAAUGUCUCGUUUCUGUUCACUUUUUCAAUAUCGUAAAGCUCCUGGAACAAAGAUGUGUAAUUAUUUUUGUUACAUAGAGAAUUAAAUAUGUGGAUGUCUACUGAA